CUACGGGGGGCACCAGUGAGGAAUUUUGCGCAAUGGGGGAAACCCUGACGCAGCAACGCCGCGUGAGUGAAGAAGGCUUUCGGGUCAUAAAGCUCUGUCAGAUAGGAAAAAAGUUCAUAUGUAAAUAGCUUAUGAAUCUGAUGGUACUAUCAGAGGAAGCACCGGCUAACUCCGUGCCAGCAGCCGCGGUAAUACGGAGGGUGCAAGCGUUGCUCGGAAUUACUGGGCGUAAAGGGCGUGUAGGCGGUAUGGUAAGUCAGAUGUGAAAGCCCUGGGCUUAACUCAGGAAGUGCAUUUGAUACUGCCAGCCUUGAGUAUGGGAGAGGAGAGUAGAAUUCCCAGUGUAGAGGUGAAAUGCGUAGAUAUUGGGAGGAACACCCGUGGCGAAGGCGACUCUCUGGACCAAUACUGACGCUGAGACGCGAAAGCGUGAGGAGCAAACAGGAUUAGAUACCCUGGUAGUC
rnacentral:rRNA from 1 species